rnacentral:rRNA from 1 species
AGCGGCGGACGGGUGAGUAACGCGUGGGUAACCUGCCCUAUACACACGGAUAACAUACCGAAAGGUAUGCUAAUACGAGAUAAUAUAAGAGAUUCACAUGGAUUUCUUAUCAAAGCUGAGGCGGUAUAGGAUGGACCCGCGUCUGAUUAGCUAGUUGGUAAGGUAACGGCUUACCAAGGCGACGAUCAGUAGCCGACCUGAGAGGGUGAUCGGCCACAUUGGAACUGAGACACGGUCCAAACUCCUACGGGAGGCAGCAGUGGGGAAUAUUGCACAAUGGGCGAAAGCCUGAUGCAGCAACGCCGCGUGAGUGAUGAAGGCCUUCGGGUCGUAAAACUCUGUCCUCAAGGAAGAUAAUGACGGUACUUGAGGAGGAAGCCCCGGCUAACUACGUGACAGCAGCCGCGGUAAUACGUAGGGGGCUAGCGUUAUCCGGAUUUACUGGGCGUAAAGGGUGCGUAGGUGGUCUCUUAAGUCAGGAGUGAAAGGCUACGGCUUAACCGUAGUAAGCUCUUGAAACUGGGAGACUUGAGUGCAGGAGAGGGAAGUGGAAUUCCUAGUGUAGCGGUGAAAUGCGUAGAUAUUAGGAGGAACACCAGUAGCGAAGGCGGCUUUCUGGACUGUAACUGACACUGAGGCACGAAAGCGUGGGGAGCAAACAGGAUUAGAUACCCUGGUAGUCCACGCCGUAAACGAUGAGUACUAGGUGU